CCUACGGGGGGCAGCAGUGAGGAAUAUUGGUCAAUGGGCGCAAGCCUGAACCAGCCAUGCCGCGUGCAGGAAGACGGUCCUAUGGAUUGUAAACUGCUUUUAUUUGGGAAUAAACCUCUUUACGUGUAGAGAGCUGAAGGUACCAAAUGAAUAAGCACCGGCUAACUCCGUGCCAGCAGCCGCGGUAAUACGGAGGGUGCAAGCGUUAUCCGGAAUCAUUGGGUUUAAAGGGUCCGCAGGCGGGAAGAUAAGUCAGUGGUGAAAUCUCACAGCUCAACUGUGAAACUGCCAUUGAUACUGUCUUUCUUGAAUUCGAUCGAAGUGGGCGGAAUGUGACAUGUAGCGGUGAAAUGCUUAGAUAUGUCACAGAACACCGAUAGCGAAGGCAGCUCACUAGGUCUGGAUUGACGCUCAGGGACGAAAGCGUGGGGAGCAAACAGGAUUAGAUACCCGGGUAGUC
rnacentral:rRNA from 1 species